UAGGGAAUCUUCCGCAAUGGGCGAAAGCCUGACGGAGCAACGCCGCGUGAGUGAUGAAGGUCUUCGGAUCGUAAAACUCUGUUAUUAGGGAAGAAUAAAUGUGUAAGUAACUAUGCACGUCUUGACGGUACCUAAUCAGAAAGCCACGGCUAACUACGUGCCAGCAGCCGCGGUAAUACGUAGGUGGCAAGCGUUAUCCGGAAUUAUUGGGCGUAAAGCGCGCGUAGGCGGUUUUUUAAGUCUGAUGUGAAAGCCCACGGCUCAACCGUGGAGGGUCAUUGGAAACUGGUUGACUUGAGUGCAGAAGAGGAGAGUGGAAUUCCAUGUGUAGCGGUGAAAUGCGUAGAUAUAUGGAGGAACACCAGUGGCGAAGGCGACUCUCUGGUCUGUAACUGACGCUGAGGCUCGAAAGCGUGGGUAGCAAACAGG
rnacentral:rRNA from 1 species